rnacentral:rRNA from 1 species
GACGUAGGGUGCGAGCGUUGUCCGGAUUUACUGGGCGUAAAGCGCGUGUAGGCGGCUUUGCAAGUCGGAUGUGAAAGCCCACGGCUCAACCGUGGAAGUGCAUCCGAAACUGCAUGGCUUGAGUCUCGGAGAGGAAGGUGGAAUGCUUGGUGUAGAGGUGAAAUUCGUAGAUAUCAAGCAGAACACCUGCGGCGAAGGCGGCCUUCUGGACGAUGACUGACGCUGAGACGCGAAAGCGUGGGGAGCAAACAGG